rnacentral:rRNA from 1 species
CCUACGGGAGGCUGCAGUGGGGAAUAUUGCACAAUGGGCGCAAGCCUGAUGCAGCCAUGCCGCGUGUGUGAAGAAGGCCUUCGGGUUGUAAAGCACUUUCAGCGGGGAGGAAGGCGUUAAGGUUAAUAACCUUGUCGAUUGACGUUACCCGCAGAAGAAGCACCGGCUAACUCCGUGCCAGCAGCCGCGGUAAUACGGAGGGUGCAAGCGUUAAUCGGAAUUACUGGGCGUAAAGCGCACGCAGGCGGUCUGUCAAGUCGGAUGUGAAAUCCCCGGGCUCAACCUGGGAACUGCAUUCGAAACCGGCAGGCUAGAGUCUUGUAGAGGGGGGUAGAAUUCCAGGUGUAGCGGUGAAAUGCGUAGAGAUCUGGAGGAAUACCGGUGGCGAAGGCGGCCCCCUGGACAAAGACUGACGCUCAGGUGCGAAAGCGUGGGGAGCAAACAGGAUUAGAUACCCUUGUAGUC